rnacentral:rRNA from 1 species
UACGGAGGGGGCCAGCGUUGUUCGGAAUCACUGGGCUUAAAGGGCGCGUAGGCGGCUUGCCAAGUCCGGGGUGAAAGCCUCCAGCUUAACUGGAGAAGUGCCUUGGAUACUGGCGAGCUCGAGCGAGGUAGGGGCAGAUGGAACUUCCGGUGGAGCGGUGAAAUGCGUUGAUAUCGGAAGGAACGCCGGUGGCGAAAGCGAUCUGCUGGACCUCUUCUGACGCUGAGGCGCGAAAGCUAGGGGAGCGAACGGG